GACCAGAUCAUCAUGACAUGGCCUCCUAAAACAUCCUUUCGAGGGCAAAGGAGACAGAAGAAAGUGACCUCCUAGCAACUGCCUGUGCAAAGAAGAGACUCAACAAAAGAAAAGACUUCUCUCAUGAAGACCCAAGAGCUUCAGGGUCAGAAUGAGGAUAAGAAUUUGAUGUGCAGGGUUUGAAUGACCCAAGCCUGCAGAGUCAACUCUACUGCCCGUCCACACUUGUCUGCUGCUGUUCCUCACCUCUCCAGUGAGCGUGGAGUUCCAUGGUCUCAGGUGACAGCCAUCACACCCACUCUGAAUUUCCUGACAGGCAUAAUAGAAUUGAAGACACAGUGGAUAACGACAGAGCCUCGUGUACUGCUAACAGGUACAGAAGCCAAAUAGCCACUCUAGGGAGUUCUGGUUGUUGUUUUGGUUUUGUUUUGUUUUUAAGAGAUGAGGUCUCACUCUGUGGCCCAGGCUGGAGUGCAGUGGCACAAUCAUAGCUC
rnacentral:lncRNA from 1 species